rnacentral:rRNA from 1 species
UACAGGGGGUGCAAACGUUGCUCGGAAUCAUUGGGCGUAAAGCGCACGUAGGCGGUUCGUUAUGUCGGAUGUGAAAGCCCUUGGCUUAACCGAGGAAGUGCAUCCGAAACUGGCGAGCUAGAGUACGAAAGAGGAUCGCGGAAUUCCCGGUGUAGAGGUGAAAUUCGUAGAUAUCGGGAGGAACACCGGUUGCGAAGGCGGCGAUCUGGGUCGAUACUGACGCUGAGGUGCGAAAGCGUGGGGAGCAAACAGG